rnacentral:misc_RNA from 1 species
UCUCCGUUGGGGAACCAGCGGAGGGAUCAUUACCGAAGUUACCUUCAAAACCCACUGUGAACCUUACCUCUUGCCGCGUUGUCUCGGCGGGAGGCGGUGUGCGUCGCGCGCCCUAGCGGGCCGCGCCGCUCCCGUCCCCGCCGGCAGCGCCAAACUCUAAAUGCACAGCGGACUGUACGUUCUGAUUUACAAAAAAAAACAAGUUAAAACUUUCAACAACGGAUCUCUUGGUUCUG